rnacentral:lncRNA from 1 species
AGCUACAGCUGCUGGCCUAUGCCAAAGCCACAGCCAUGCCAGAUCUGAGCCAUAUCUUUGAACUUUAUCACUGCUCAUGGCAACAUGGGAUCCUUAACCCCUUGAACAAGGCCAGGGAUCAAACCUGCAACCUCAUGGUUCCUAGUUAGAUUCAUUUCCACUGCGCCACGAUAGGAACUCCCUUUCUUCAUCUAUAAAACACAGUAUAGGGAUACUCAUCUGAUCAAUGAGGGAGUAUAUUAUAAGCUGUAAAGGCAAUGGAAAUCCAAUGUACUGAAUUAAUGUGAUUAAAUUCUCAAGGCCACUAACCACUCCCUCGCCUUCUCAUAUGGGAGAACUGACUUGUAGGACUUGAUACAGUACUGAGGCACCAAAAUUCAUCCCAUGGCCUGCACCUUGUCUACACCCAUCUCAAUGCUCCCUGGGAGGGUGGGAUAUGAAGGGACCAUAGCCAACCUCACAGGGUUAGAACUCUGAGUGCCAGGGUUGAGGUGUGGUUUCAUGAAGGUUGAACAGACAUACCCAUCUUUCCUCUUCCUUCUAAGAUGGCAGGUGACAACAUAGGACAAGGAAGGAAUGAGGAAUAUACUAGUCAAAGUGCCUAGGAGGAAGCCAAAGUUGGGCACAGAGAGAACAGCCUGAGAUAUUAGAUUUAAGGCAUGGGGAGUUAGAGAGCCCCCAGUCAGUGGGGGGAAUCUUUGAAGUGGGUUUUCCAAGACAUGUGCUGUGACUCCUAGGACCUUUUCAAUUUGCCUUUGUGGGCUCUGGUAUGCAGUGUUAUAUAAUUUGGACUGGUUUAAGCAUCACAUUCAGGAUAUACAGCAGGUAGGGAAAACAGAAACACAUAGCUAAGGGACGCCUACCUUGAAUAAGGAAAGUACCCCUCAAACUUAUCAAAGGGUGGUGUCAAAUGUCACAGAACCUUCGAUUAACACAAAAAUGAAAAUGUAGCCAGCACUGGGUAUAAUUCUAUACACCUCCCCAUAAUGUAUGCGACAAUGUAAUAACAGCAUUUCUUUGUGCAAUGAAAUCUUGUUAAAUUGAUAUAGUUUUAUUCAAAACAGCAUGAAUUUGAAGCAGCUAUUUCUCCCUAGUUGACUUAAAUGUCUUAUUGCUCUUAAAUAAAAUAUCAGAUAAUACACACUUAAAGUUCUUUUUUUCAUAGCUCCCUUAAUAUAGAAUUAACAAGCUACUACUCAAUUAUUUAGAGUUUUCUGGUAAAGGGCCCAUAAAGCUUUCACAAAAAUAAUGGGAAGUGUGUCCAUAAUUCUCAUUUGGCAUGCGAUAAAACUCAGAUUCUGGAGGUUGCAGGAACUUCUUCAGCUAGCAGGACCAGUCUUUCAUAUCAUGGAUCAAGCUACUGUUAGAAUAGUGAGGAUGAGGCUGGGAUCUGGGGAAGUUGUGGUGGAUACGUGAGCCAGAGCUGGAGCAUGGGGAAGGGUGGAAUGAUAGCCAUAAUGCCAGAAUUGGGUGUUGAGAGCAUCUGGUGUUGAGGAAAACAGAUCUGGGCAAGAUGAUUGCCUCAGAGAGGAAUAGCAAGAUGUUUCCUAAAAGGGACAAGGAAAUGCAGCCGCAGAGAACACAGCCAUGAGCCGCAGUCAGGGAGAUGGUGCAGUGGAAUGCCCCAGUUAUCUUUUGGAGUUAGGUGUGUAUUAGUUUUUGGUGUCUGACACUUUCAAGCUAUGAGAUUUUAUGGAAGGCAUUUCUGAGUCCUGGUGCCUUUAUUUGUAAGAGGGGAUGCCAAGAAAAAAUUUAUGCUAGAUUGCUGAAAUGAGAGUACCAGAAAACUCAAGUCCAAAGAUUCUAAUACUUUGUCUCAGGAUUGUUGUGAGGAUCAUGUGAGUGAAAUUAUGUAAAAGUGCUCUGUAAACUAGAAGGAAUUACACGAGUUAUUCAUUAUUAGAUAUAUGCCAAAUGAAAAGAAAAAAAUAUACUUUUUUUUCAAAUUAAAAAAUAAGGAAAACUAUAGAAAAUUUAAAAACCUUCAUCUAUAGCUAUAUCUCAAGGGAGGAAAAUUUAAAGUUUUCUCACUACUCAAAAUGUUUAAAAAAAUGAUGUGGGCAUUUUUUUUUCCUCUGUGUUGGUAUAUAUGUAUGUGUGUCUAUAUUCCAGUCAAGAUCAUGUAAUAUACAUUAGACAGUACUAAAACUACUUUUUUCUUUUUAUCUAACAGCUUUUUCUAUAUUCUUGAACAUCUCAUUUCUAAAUAAGGGAAAGGGAGGUAAUAUUGUUUUAACCCCCAUAAAAUGAAUCAGAGGCAACAUUUAUAAAAAAAAAUUUUUAAAUCAUUAGUUGGCAAGCAGUUACUACUAGCUGCUAGAAUUUUUGUUAUUUCAGCCAAGGAUUGUGACUACGAGAUUGAAAAAAUAUAUAUAUUCAAAGCAAAAAUCAAUAUGGGAAUGAAAAAAAUCUGUAGGGAGAAAUAAUAAAAUAAAACUUAUUGCUAUGAAAUAAAGAGAACAGGAAAGCAUUGAGGAUUUAAAGCAUUUUUGCAGGCAUUAAGUUAUAGAAUACCUGUUUACUGGAAAAGUGAAAUAAAACAUAAACAAAGUCUUAUUAACAAAGAAAAGAGCUAAUCCUGUAACUCAAUGAAUGGUUGAAUAAUGCAAAUAGAAAACCUUUACCAUCAUUUUAGAAACCAGCUUUGCUGUGAACCUUAUCAUCAGCCCCUAGUUGAAUAACAAACCAGAUUACCCUGGAAAUAUUCAUCUAGGAUGAAGCUGGAAAACGACCAUUUACAUUGUGUGUGAAACUCUUAUUAUUCGGGAGUUUGCUCCAAAUAAAGAAUUUCAUUAUAAAUGAGUAUUUGAUAUAAGCUAGAAUGUCCCUUUCACUUUGAUGCUUCAAAAAUACUAUCCCUAUAGAACCCUCCUACAGUACGGAGGUUCCUCAGAAAACUAAAAAUAGAAUUAUCAUAUAAUCCAGCAAUCCAACUCCUGGAACUCUAUCCAGAGAAAGACACAAUUCAAAAAGAUGUCUACAAAACAGAAACAGAUUCACAGAUAUAGAGAACAGACUUAUGGUUGCCAAGGGGGUUGGGGAUGAGGGAUGGGCUGGGAAUUUGGUGUUUAUAGAAGAAAACUGUUACAUACAGAAUGGAUAAACAACAAGGUCCUACUAUAUAGCACAGGGAACUAUACUCAAUAUCCUGGGAUAAACCAUAAUGGAAAAGAAUAUUUAAAAAAGAAUGUGUAUAUGUAUGUAAAACCGAAUCACUUUGCUGUACAACAGGAAUUAACACAACAUUGUAAAUCAACUAUAUUUCAAUUAAAAAAAAAAACCUGUCUAAAUCCCAUACCUAUAGGUAAGCAACAGGAUAUAUCAUACAGCACAGAGAAAUAUAGCCAUUAUUUUGUAAUAACUUUGAGCAGAGUAUAAUCUAUAAAAGUACUGCAUCACUAUCUUGUACACCUGAAACAAAUGUAGUAUUGUAAAUCAAGUAUACUUCGAUUUAAAAAGAUGUAUAUCCCAGAAGUUACCGUUGUGGCUCUGUGGUAACAAGCAUGACUAGUAUCCCUGAGGAUGUGAGUUUGAUCCCUGGCCUUGCUCAGUGGGUUAAGGAUCCCAAAUUGCUAUGAGCUGUGGUGUAGGUCACAAAUGAGGCUCAGAUGUGGUAUUUCUGUGGCUGUGGUACAAGCCAGCAGCUGUAGCUCUGAUUCGACCCCUAGCCAUCGGACUUCCAUGUGCUGCAGGUGUGGUCCUAAAAAGAAAAAAAUAAAUAAAAAUAAAAAAUUAAAAGAUACUGUCCCUUAUAUUCUUCAGGUCAUUGGCACUAGAGUGCAAUAUGUGCCCUAGGUAUGUCCCUGUUUGUUGGCCAAGCAAGUUGCUUACACACUAUUUAAUUAUGUUCAUGUUAUCUAUCACUGCAUAAAAAACAACACUGAAACACAGUGGUUUAAAUGAACAGUGGACCUUUAUGUUUCUUACAAAUCUGAAAUUUGAGUAGGAUGUGUGCUGACUAAUCCCUGCUUCAUGGUUUUCAGGACCUCAGAUGGGCUGGCCCAAUGUCUAGAGGCCAGAAGAGUUUAGCUGAGGCAUCCCUUUCCUCUUAUGUAGUGGCUGUGGCUUUCCAUGUGGUACUUCAGCAUGGUGGCCAAGAGUUAGCUUUCUUCCAGCUCAGUGUGGCUUCAGCAUAGUGGUCCAAGAAGGAAUAUUCCCAGAGGCCUGGAUGGAAGUUGUAGGGUUUUGUUUUGUUUUGUUUUCCCCUAAUUUCAGAAGAACUGAGAUUAUUAUUGAUCAGGCAAUUUACUAAGUCCAGCCCAGACUCAAAGGGAGAGGAGUUAGAUUAUACCUCUCAGUGGCAACAGCAGCAAAGUAUGUGAGGCCAUUCUUAAUCUACCACACAUUCUCCUGUUUUAAAAAAUGCUCUUCUUUGAAAGAACAACUGGAGAGGAGUAAGAGACUGAAUGUGAGAAUUCAUCCUAAUUUUGUGGCUAAUGUAAUAAAAAAAGAAAAGGAUGAUUUACAGGAGUCUUUCCUUCAGCUCACCUUUUCAAUGCUUUGAUUCUAAAAUAGCCAACUCUUUCUUAGUUCCUAAAAAUACUGGUAUCUGGGGCCCACUGAUUUACACAUUCAGGGAAUUUCUCUCCCAUUGUCUUGCACUUUUCCUCUUACUUAAAAAAGUAGGCAAGCUGCCUUAUAAUUCAUAAAAAUGCCAGAAUUACUGGAUGUUUUAGUUUUUAGAGUCCUCAUUUCAUUUUUUUCUUUCCAGUAGGCCAUAACUAAUAGUGUCCCUGUAGGCUGAAACUAAGAGAAGGAUUUUUGUUAUUGCUUUGAUGUUAUCAGGUGAAAUCCGCACAGGAAAAUUAUCUUACAUCUAUUCAAAUUGCCACUGAGUAUCAGUGAUACUGUGGCAGGUUAUGAGCAAAAUAAACUGAAUGAAAAGAUGAUGGGUUUAAUAAAAGCCAGAAAUUGAGAAGUGCAUUGCUUACAGGUUACAGAAAAAGCAGUAGACAAAUGAAAAAUUAGGGGAAAUGUGAAUUAGUCUCAGUAAUAUCUCCAUGUGUGGUGAAGCAGUACUUGAACUGAGGGGAAAACGGAAGUGAAUUACCAUUUUGCAUGAUGGUGAUUUCACCACUCAGAGUCUUAGCUUCACUUAUCAUCAUAAAUGAAGCUAUGUUGCUGGUCUGAGUAUAACUCAUAGACUGUCCCUGGGUUUGUGAAUUAAAUCCUCUUCAAUGUUAAGGUCUCUAAAGUCCCAUGAUCUCAAGCAGUUUCCAAGUUAUCAGUCCCAUCAGACCUUCCUGUUGGAGGGGCAGUAAUAGAGAAUAUACUCAUUUUGUUAUAGUCAGAAUUGAGAACAUAGAUCAGGAAAAUGCCUCAUUUACUAUUUUAGACACUCAGAAUGAUUCUCUUUAUUCCUCCCUUUCUGGAGAUUGCCUACAAUCCCUGUUAUCCAUGGGUCCUAACUCUUCCAAUACUAGCACAUUCCUAUUCAGUUUUACUCUGAUAACUUGACAUUAUUCAGAGCUCUUUUACUCUUCCAUUCUUUGGAAGAUCAUUAUUUAAAGCUUUGGAGUUGUCCUGAAGAAGCAGGGCUGUAUAAUUCUACCUGGAGAAGAGCUACAACUCCUGUGGUCUUCACUAUUUCCCAUGUACUGUUUGGAGCAUUUACAUACAAUAAUAUCUUUUAUCCUGACAACAACCCAAUGAAGUAGGUUAAAUGAAUUGCUCAAGACAUUAUUCUCCUGGUGGCAGAGCUGGGAUUCAAACCUAAGCAGUCCAAAUCCAAAGUAAAGGUUCUUACAUUAACUCUUAAAGGGCUCUUAGAGCACACUGCUGUAAAAAAUUAUUAAAUGCUCACAUUUAAAAGAAGGAA